rnacentral:rRNA from 1 species
CGCGAAUGGCCAUUACAACAGCUAUAAUUUACUGGAUUUUGAUUGUUAUAUGGAUAACUGCGGUAAUUCUGGAGCCAAUACAUGCGUCAAGCAUCAGCCUUUGGUUGUUGUGCAUUUAUUGGAGCAAAACCAGUCUUUGACGGUUGCUAACUCUGGAUAAUUAUGCAUAUCGCACGGUCUUGUACCGGCGAAUUUUCUUUCAAGUAUCUGCUUUAUCAACUAUCGUUGGUGGUUUAUUGGACUACCAUGGUUGUGACGGGUAACGGAGAAUUAGGGUUUGACUCCGGAGAGGGAGCCUUAGAAACGGCUACCAUGUCUAAGGAUAGCAGCAGGCGCGAAAAUUACCCAAUGCCGAAACGGUGAGGUAGUGACGAGAAAUAACGAGACCGUUCUCUUUGAGGUCGGUCAUUGGAAUGAGUACAAUUCAGACAUUUUAACGAGUAUCUACGAGAGGGCAAGUCUGGUGCCAGCAGCCGCGGUAAUUCCAGCUCUCGUAAGGUAUAGAAUUAUUGUUGCGAUUAAAAAGUUCGUAGUUGGAUUGUUGAACUAGCUCGGGUCCACCCUCGUGGUGCGUACUCGUUGCUUGUAUUUUGUUCGUUUUUGUGGCGUUGGCUUCGGUUAGCGUCAUGAUGCGAGCAGGAUUACUUUGAACGGCUUAAGUGCUUUAAGCGAGUCUUAUGACUGAAUACCGGUGCAUGGAAUAAUGGAAUAAGGUUUCGAUCGAGUUUUAUUGGUUUUGUCGGUUGAAACAAUGGUUAACAGAAACAGCCGGGGGCAUUCGUAUCGCUGCGCGAGAGGUGAAAUUCGUGGACCGUAGCGAGACGUCCGAAAGCGAAGGCAUUUGCCAAGAGUGUUUUCAUUAAUCAAGAACGAAAGUCAGAGGUUCGAAGGCGAUCAGAUACCGCCC